GGUCCUGUCGGCCAAUGGAUAAGGCUCCUGACUACGAAUCAGGAGAUUCCAGGUUCGAGUCCUGGCAGGAUCG
rnacentral:tRNA from 1 species